UAAGUGUCGGUAUUAUGUAGUUUACAGCGUUGCUUUUUUUAAUCACACAGGAGUGCGUGUUUUUUCAUCAGGCAUUGACAAGGACCGCACAUUACAAGACCUUGACGCAAGGACCCAUUCUACAGGUGAUCAUCAAUUUUCGACCAAAUUAGCAUUUUCUUAUUUUACCUCAGUUGACCUUAACCCAAAAGUUUCAAAAGGUCAAAUCAUGAUGGAUGCAAGUCGAGCCAAGUAAGUGAGCUUUUAAAUCUACCAGUAUGUGUUUUUUUUUUUUUAAUCGCAAGACCUGAUGAUGGACUCGACUGGCCCACUUGACCGAAAUGCUUUUUUGAAUGCGCACGUCAUGUGGGUAAAAAGAAUGGCUGCCAUAACUGAAUUACGAUGUUAAUGUGACCCGUAUUGUUUUGGGACGAAUUUCUUCUCAGUUCACAUUUGAAGGCAAAAAAAAAAGAAUUUUCACUUCACCCGAGUAUAUGUCCAGCCGCUCCUUCAAUUCAUCAUUCAGGAUUUUCUUCACCUCGAGAUCCUCCAGAAGACAACUCACGGUGUUCCUUGCCCUCCUCUCCCUGUCCUUGGCGUUCCUCUUGUCUCUUUCCAGACUCUCCACCCUCGCUAGGGCUUCACUGAGUUUGACCCUCAGCUCUUCCGGUGUUGAAGCGUAAGCGUGGUCCUAAGUCAAAAUAAGAAAAAUGAGAAUACGGA